UAUUCACCUUUGAUAUUUCCAGAAUUUAUGGGCUUCAACCCGAACUCUUUAGUUGGUCAGUUCAUUAAUGAGAACAAGUAAUACAAGAGAAUUCGUUAAGAACUUUCUAGUUCUUUAAUAUUCACCUAGUGAAUUUGCACAUCAUACUUAAAAUGAGAUGGCUAACUCGAAUGCCAACUGGAUAAAUUAUCAAUAUUGAUAAGUUCAUGUUUACACCAUGACAUGUGCAA
rnacentral:lncRNA from 1 species